GCCCAGAGAUCAUGGACCAUGAUAAAAGCAUGGUCUCUACACUAAUUGCGGGGACCAUGGGUUAUUUAGUGCCCGAGUAUCUUCAAUACGGGAAAGCUACCGAUGAAACCAAUGUUAUCAGCGCUAUGGUGUGGUGGUUCUAGAACUCUGUUGUGCGAGGAGACAAAUUGAGAGGGAGCCAGGGGGUCAUAAAAUGAUCAAUUUAGUGGCUUGGGUGUAGGAGUUGCACUCCAAAAGCGCCAUUUGUGACCACUGACCCGGUUGACAAGCGGUUGAACAAAGAGUUUGAUCCGAAUGUGAGAGUUUCAUUUUCUGAUCCGGUGGCUGACACUCUUUGGAGAUUAUUUCUGAGCUACCUACAAAAGAUCCUUAUGCUUUUGCUAUUGCUUUAGGAACUGUAAAGGAUUUUUUGCAUUACAUGAUGUGCUUGCUAGAGCUGGUCUGGCUAGAUUGUGCCACGCAAUAUCUAGAGCUAAGUAACGGGAUGGCAUGUGUUGAUAUUGUACGUACUCGAACUUUAUGGUGUACAAAAUAGCAUCUGAUUUGGGUCAAAUCGAUACAGGCAAGAAAAUAAGAAAAGCCACUGUAAAACAAAAUUGCACAAUACUUGGUAUAUAUUGCAGUUUGUUUCUGUCUUUCGAAGUUAUCACUGACAAUAUGCAAAACUGUUAGUUAUUUGUAUCCGCCACUGGUGAA